rnacentral:rRNA from 1 species
AUACGUAGGGGGCGAGCGUUGUCCGGAAUGAUUGGGCGUAAAGGGCGCGUAGGCGGCCGCUUAAGUCUGGAGUGAAAGUCCUGUUUUCAAGAUGGGAAUUGCUUUGGAUACUGGGGGGCUUGAGUGCAGGAGAGGUUAUCGGAAUUCCCGGUGUAGCGGUGAAAUGCGUAGAGAUCGGGAGGAACACCAGUGGCGAAGGCGGGUAACUGGACUGCAACUGACGCUGAGGCGCGAAAGUGUGGGGAGCAAACAUGAUUAGAUACCCUGGUAGUCCACGCUGUAAACGAUGAAUACUAGGUGUGGGGGGACUGACCCCCUCCGUGCCGCAGUUAACACAAUAAGUAUUCCUCCUGGGGAGUACGAUCGCAAGAUUGAAACUCAAAGGAAUUGGCGGG